UACGAAGGGGGCGAGCGUUAUUCGGAAUCACUGGGCGUAAAGCGUGCGUAGGCUGUUUGGCAAGUUGGAAGUGAAAGCCCAGGGCUCAACCCUGGAAUUGCUUUCAAAACUGCCAAACUAGAGUCCGGGAGAGGAUAGCGGAAUUUCCAGUGUAGUAGUGAAAUACGUAGAUAUUGGAAGGAACACCAGUGGCGUAAGCGGCUAUCUGGACCGGUACUGACGCUGAGGCACGAAAGCGUGGGGAUCAAACAGG
rnacentral:rRNA from 1 species